rnacentral:misc_RNA from 1 species
CUGAGUGAGGGCCCUCUGGGUCCAACCUCCCACCCGUGUCUAUCGUACCUUGUUGCUUCGGCGGGCCCGCCCUCGUGGCCGCCCGGGGGCUUCUGCCCCCGGGCCCGCGCCCGCCGGAGACAAACACGAACACUGUCUGAAGGUUGCCGUCUGAGUGAUUUUAUAAAUCGUUA